UGGGUUUUCAAUUUUGGGGUGCUCCAUUUCUUCAAUUUCUCAUUUGAUUUUGAGAGGUAAGUGUAAGUAUAUUGAGAUAAGUUUUCUUUUAGGGUUUAUGGAAAAUUUGGUCAUAUUCGAAGUUAGCUAGAAUUAGAGGUUAUUGACAUUGGUGCUGCUUUUGAAAUCCUGGCCUAAAAAGUGCUAGUUUUGUCAAUUUUUUGGUGACAGAUUUCAAUAAAUAGACAUUGGUGCUAGUUUUCAAUAUUCUGGAAUUAUAGUGCUAGUUUUGUCAAUCAUCUAAUUUUCUUGGAUUUCUAGUAUUCUAACCAAAUUAAGUGUUAAUUAUUUGGAGUUUUGUUGUUUAAAUAAUUUAUAAAGGAGUAUAUGUUGUUAGUGACUUUAAUUGGGAUUACGAGGUUGAAAAUAAAAUAUAUCAUGUUCCCAUUGGUAAAUUAAUAUUUCAAAUGGUAGAAAAAUACACAAGGCAUCUUGGUAAGGGAAUAUAAUUUACUAGAGCGAGUGCGUGAUAUCAUACUUGAUAUUUGAAGUUGAAGCGGUGACAAAAAGAUUGAAACCAUGGUCGACUAUUACUUGGUGAGUGGAUAAAACUUAUUUUUUAGAAAUAAGUCUUCUUGAAAUUUUAAAGUUAUUUAUUUUAUAAAGUUGACUUCAUAGCAUGAUUUUCAGAAUAAAAUGGAUUUUAUUAUCAAUUGCUUUUAAAGUUAAAUUGAGUUCAGUUAAAUUAUUUUAGUAGCAUGUUAUAUUCUUAUUACACUUUUCAGUAUAGUUAAAGUUAUUUCUAAAAACCACCAGAAAGUACCCAGGUGAUUUUACCCCAGUUUGCACUGAUGUGAAUGUGUUUCCACAAUAUAUGACUAGUUAUAGUGAUUUUACCCGCUCUGCACUAUCGUGAAUGUGUUUCCAUAGUGUAUGACUAGAUUAUCAGAGAUAUUUGAGACCCACUCUUAUACACACAUAGGCUUUGGGCCGUGUACUAGGGUGAUUAGCCUUUAGGGCAGCUCUGCGUACGUAUGACCAAAUUAUCAGCUAUCAGACCAUCAGAUUAUCAACUAUCAGACUAUCAGAUUUGAAUGGCUUUGCCUUGUACAUCGAGAUUACUCUGCACAUGAGUAAGGCUAUUCAUUAGGUACUCUUUAUGGUGUGAUUUUUCAGUAUUUAUUCAGUUUUCAAAUUUAAGAUUAUGGAGUUCAGUUAAUUCAGUUUUCAGAAUAAAGCUUUCAACCUAUAGUAUUGAGUAGCAGCAAUUUUCAUAUAUUUUCAUGGAUAUCAAAUUAUUUAUGUCAUUAUACUUUACAGUUGCUUAUCUAGAAUUAAGAAUAAAGAAUUUUAUGAUGAAACUAUGUUUAGUUUUAAAAGUGUUACCAGAUUUCAGAAUUUCUCAAAGUUUUGAUAGAGCAAGAAUUUUCAGAAUAUAUGCAUAAAAGAAAAAUAUGUUUAUUUGUAAAUUAUCCACUCACUGAGCUUUAAGCUCAUAUAUUUUUUCACAUUUUUCUUUAUCAGAUAGAAAGCAGACAAAUUGAGCAGCUUUGGAGCAUGUCGAACUACCGAAUUGAGCUACGCGUCAUAGAUUGUAUGACAUCUUUUAUCAGAUUAUACAUUGGAUUCUUUUGGGAUACACAUAGGUUAAAUCAGAAAAGUUCAUUAUGGGCUCAUUAGAUAUUUGGUAUCUUUAGUACUUUUGAGGAUUAUUGGUUGUAAAGCAAGUAAAUAUUGAUUUCCUAGCAUUUUAUUUGAAUAGUUUGUAUUUUGAGGGACUGGCAUACCCUGAUUUAUAUUAUAGGUAUUG
rnacentral:lncRNA from 1 species